GCCCGAGUGGCGGAACGGCAGACGCAGGGGACUCAAAAUCCUCCGCUGGCAACAGCGUGUGAGUUCGAAUCUCACCUCGGGCACCA
rnacentral:tRNA from 1 species